AAUUCUCAACCUAAUCAGGUUUUGUAAUAAAGCUUGGUUCAGGCUUGGAUUAUGGGAGGUUGCUGGCUUUUCCAUAGUUCAGCUCUUCUGAAAUGUAUUGUGGAGAUCUCAUCAUUGAAUCACAUUGAUAUGAUAAUUAUCUAUAUCAUUGCUGGUCAAUAAUUGUCAUAAGCUCCUAUUAAAAAGUCUUGUGUCCCAACGGCACAUUUCAUUUGAAAC
rnacentral:misc_RNA from 1 species